AUGUGUGUGUGUGUGUGUGUGUGUGUGUGUGUGUGUGUGUGUGUGUGUGUGUGUGUGUGUGUGUGCGGACGUUCCAACUCUGAUCACCAGAUCAGUGAGAGGGCCAAUCAGCCACCCACCAAAGCUUCCAGAAAUCAGGUGUUGUCCACACACAGUCCCCACAAUGCACUCCUCUGCCCUCCCCUGGGACACCUCCUGUAUUCUCAGACACAGUGUUACUACGCAGACACAAGUGGACCAGAACCAAUCAGGAGCUCAGUUCUGCGUGACCCCUGUGACACCAGCCAAUCAGCCGGCUCUCGCUGAACAGCAGCUGACUCCACGCCUGCAUCCACGGGCCCAGAGGGGGAAAAGAAAUGAGAUUAUUACGGACUGUGUUUUGGGCCUUUUUUUCCGGUUUCUUCCACGGCACUUCAGAACUUGCCCGUUCCGCGUUUGCAUUUUGGCUUUGGGGCCAAACCGUGGCUCCUUCGACCUGGACAGUGAAAUCAGUUAUUAGACCUUAAACCCGUUUCCCCAUCCUGAGUUUUUCUGAAAGCGGGUGAAGAUUUGAGAGUGUGUGUGUCCCACCCCCCCC